UUCCAUCUUCUCUCCGCCGUCUGAAAUCCUUCUCUUCCAUUGCAGCUCCCAACCUCUGUCGGCCUUUCUUGCCUCCAGCCCUUUCCUUUUUCUUGGAGCCUCGGAAGGUUUCUUGGCGUGAAUCCGUGUUGAAGUUUGCACCUUUUUGGGCGUUGUCGAGCUCUGGUCAUGUCAAGUUCCUCGCUUUCAAUGGUAAGAUGUCAAUGAUGGAAUGUCUUUGAGAGGAUCUUGGAUGUCUUUUGUCAGUUUCAAGGUUCAGCCCAGCAUCACUUCCAGGUCUGAAGUUAUCCAGGAAGAUUACUAAUCCCAUAGCUGAAUCCUCUGGUCCCAGAGGACUACAUUGAAGACUGUAAAUCGAUGCACCUUGAUUGACCAAAUAAUGGCAGAGAUAUAUAGUUACACAGCCUGCAGACAGUUGUCCCAAUUACUCUUGUCAAUUAUCUUCUUUCAUGGGUCUGAGUAUAUCCUUGCAGCGGCCUUUCAUGGACGAUCAAAUGUAACUCUUAAAUCCCUCUUGAUCAGCCGAAAUUAUCUUCUUGCAAUGUUCUUUUCGCUGGUGGAGUAUUUUGUUGAAGUUUCUCUAUUUCCAUCCUGGAAAGAAUGCUGGUGGAUCAGCAAUUUCGGCUUAGCCCUGAUUGUAGUUGGGGAGAUCAUUAGGAAGAUGGCAAUUAUAACUGCUGGGCGGGCAUUUACGCAUUUGAUCAAAAUCUAUCAUGAGGAUGAUCACAAGCUGAUAACUCACGGAAUCUAUCAGUUUAUUCGUCAUCCUGGAUAUUGCGGAUUUUUCAUCUGGUCGGUCGGGACUCAAAUAAUGCUGUGCAAUCCCGUGUCUAUGUUUGCAUUCGCAGCAGUUGCUUGGCAUUUCUUUGCAAAACGGAUACCAUAUGAAGAGUUUUUUCUGAGACAGUUCUUUGGGCGACAGUAUGAGAAAUAUGCCCAAACUGUCCCCUCAGGGGUUCCAUUUGUGAAGUGAGUUCUACAUCUCAAGUUCUUGGGACAGAGUGUAGCAUCCUAUACAGCUACUUGGAUUGGAUCCAACAAUGUUGAGGCUUCUAUAUGUUAGAUGAAACUCUUUGAACCCUCCAGGUUAAGCUUGUCAUGGGGUGGCCAACGAUCUUUGAUUAUUGGAGCAUCUGAGAACUCUUUCAACCAUGCAAAUAGAGGUGGAAACCUCUCACCAUCAACCACUUUGAGGCUGGAUAUCUCCUCAAAGACCCCAAAGUGGAGUGACCAACCAUCCAAGCGCAAUGUCCAGAUAUCCGAUGUUGCAUCCACCAGAGAAUUUCUUCCCUUCAAGUUGUUCUUCCAGCUUCUGCAGAAUCGCGCCAUGGUCCUUGCAUAAGGAUCCUGUGGGAGAAGCGGGCAUCGGUUCCAUGUCUCGUGUCGACGGUGCUUGAGAAUUACCAGGGACUUCGAAAUUGCUGUCCCUUUGUAAAGAAGCACCGGUACCUUCUUAUAAGUGGGCUAUGAUGAAGAAGGAGGUCGCUUUUGUCGGAGAGAUCUUCCAGGACGGAUUUGUAUCGAACGCCCUUGAGCUGCAGUGCCCAGAUGACCCUCAAAGCACAUGCGCUCGACCAUGCCUUGAGCAGUGUCACCUCCUCAGCCGUGUGGUUGGCUUGAUCGUAUGAUUCACUUCAACCUUCCAAGGAAACCUAUAAACAAAACACGCCUUCCUUCGCUUACCUGGUCUUGCGACGUAUCUCUUCUUUUCCCGAUUCUCUGCAUGGGAACCACCUGAAUGUCUAGCUUUGUAUUUUUAUGACUUUCGUGGAUGCCUUGAUAUUAUAUUAAUGUCACCUAGAGUUUGUACAGAAAUGUAGUAGGGAGAUCAUAAUUUAUGAACUUGAAGACCCAUUUUUGUACUCA